rnacentral:lncRNA from 1 species
UAACGAGCUUCGUGUUGCCCCGGAAGAGCACCCAGUUCUCCUUACUGAGGCUCCUCUUAACCCAAAAGCUAAUCGGGAGAAAAUGACCCAAAUUAUGUUCGAGACCUUCAAUGCCCCUGCUAUGUAUGUAGCUAUCCAGGCCGUGCUCUCACUUUAUGCCAGUGGUCGUACAACCGGUAAGAAUCAUAAAUGAUCCAUCCAUUGAGUUUCAACUGUCUGUUUUGAUUCUUGAUUAUCACCUGCUAUUAGUGCAUAAAAAAUUUUCCAAUUUGAAUUGGCUUGGAGGGCUGGUGAACUCCUUGGAAGUUUACGGUUGGAAUUGAAUUAAAUUUAAUGCUGAACAUAUUUUUUUGGUAUAUGAGAGAUGAGAGAUGUAACAUCAUUGUGCCUGUUUUUAUGUUAGGUAUUGUGAUGGACUCGGGAGAUGGUGUCAGCCACACAGUGCCUAUUUACGAGGGUUAUGCCCUCCCACAUGCCAUUCUUCGUCUUGACUUGGCUGGUCGAGACCUCACUGAUUACUUGAUGAAAAUUCUGACUGAGCGUGGAUAUUCCUUCACCACCACAGCCGAACGGGAAAUUGUGAGAGACGUUAAGGAAAAGUUGUCUUACAUUGCCCUUGACUAUGAACAGGAGCUAGAGAC